UUAACUCAAAUUUGUAUGGAGUUGGAACGUUUGCCGCUAGUUCCGACUGCAUACUAAUUUGAGUUA
rnacentral:pre_miRNA from 1 species